UACAGAGGUCUCAAGCGUUGUUCGGAUUCAUUGGGCGUAAAGGGUGCGUAGGCGGCGUGGUAAGUCGGGUGUGAAAUCUCGGAGCUUAACUCCGAAACUGCAUUCGAUACUGCCGUGCUUGAGGACUGGAGAGGAGACUGGAAUUUACGGUGUAGCGGUGAAAUGCGUAGAUAUCGUAAGGAAGACCAGUGGCGAAGGCGGGUCUCUGGACAGUUCCUGACACUGAGACACGAAGGCCGGGGGAGCAAACGGG
rnacentral:rRNA from 1 species